rnacentral:rRNA from 1 species
UACGUAGGGGGCAAGCGUUGUCCGGAAUCAUUGGGCGUAAAGGGCGCGUAGGCGGGCUUGCAAGUCUGAUGUGAAAGUGCGGAGCUUAACUCCGUAAAGCAUUGGAAACUGUGAGUCUUGAGGACAGGAGAGGAAAGUGGAAUUCCUAGUGUAGCGGUGAAAUGCGUAGAUAUUAGGAGGAACACCAGUGGCGAAGGCGACUUUCUGGACUGUAACUGACGCUGAGGCGCGAAAGCGUGGGGAUCAAACAGG